AAGAGUCUAUUUAUACCCCCUCUUAAAAAGAAUAAAAAGAAAGUGAGUAAAGGGAAAAGGAAAGGAAAACAAAAAAACAAAGGAAAAAGAAUUAAAAAGAAGAGAAAAAAAUGAAAAACAAAUAAACAACAAAAACCCAAAACUGAAAACCAUCAGACCCCUAGCCCCAAUAUUUCCUUCCCUCUUCCGUAUUGUUGCGAUGUUCCUGAAAUUCACCAUCAACGAUUAUCAAUGUCGUUGAUCAACAUCAUUAGCAAUCACCACCAUUCGUCAUCAAUCAUCUUCGUCGCCCAUUAUCCGUUGCUGAUCAUCAUCAAUCAUCGUCAUUCGUCGAUCAACAUCAUCAUCUUCAAUCAACACCGUCCAUCACCAAGCACUACUACAUUUUCGAACUAAUGCAACGACAAAAGAGUGGCUAAUACAACGGUAAAAACGUGUCGUUGUAAUAGGUCUAUCUAACGCAACGUCUUAAAAGCUACUACAACGGCUUCAUCUGAUUCGUUGAAAUAAGUAACGCUAAUGUAACGGUUUUGGAAUAGCCGUCGUGUUAGGGCCUCCAAUGCAUGCCUUUUUUUAUUCACUAAACAAAAAUAAAAAUAAAACAUGAAAACUCACGCGUAUGCUUGUUUUUUCCGUCAUUCUCCUCUCUUUCUUCCCUUUCAUAUCUCUCACUCUCUAAUUAGGGUAUUGGAAGACUGUCAUUGAAAUUCCUAAUUUUCGCAAACUGCUACGGAAAGAUAAAGUUUUUCAGAGAUUUACCUAUCUCUAUUUCAUCUUUUCCUCUAUUCGGAGGUCAAUUAAAAUGGAAGAUUCAUGAAAUAAACUUUUAGGUGCAGUUGGGGAUAGAUGGGAAUGGAUAAUCAUGUCCUUGUGAUUUAAAGAGUAGCACAACAAACUGGAAGGUGCGUGACGUACGACCUCUAAUCGACUUCAGAAGCUUGGUUGUUGCUGUACAUGGCGCUGAUGUCAGUCCAAACUAAUGUUGAAAUUUAGUUUUUGGGAACCAUAGUUCAGCUUUGGUAGAUUUUAUAUUAGUUAAUUUAAUGGUGAUGUUUGAUCUUGUAAUUUCCUUAAAGGAAACGAUGUACAUACCCUUGAGUUUCUCUAUAUCAAUGAAAUUCCUUACCUAUAA